rnacentral:lncRNA from 1 species
ACAUAACCAAGUGCGGUGUUGCCAAAGAUCCCCAAACUCAUCGAUGGUGUCUCUCACUCCGACGCCGAAACUUCCGUUGUUGAGAAUCGCAACUCGCCGGAAGGUCAAUAACCUAAGGCUUUAAAUCAAUUCUUCUCCUUUUCAUUCAUUCCCAUUUGACACUACUCUCUCUCAGAGGAAUAUUUGUAGUUGCUGUUAGAUUGGUUUGGAAAGUUUUUUGGGGUCCCGAAAGUGUUUUUUAUGCUGACUAUAGCAGUCCUGCUUUCUCUGCUUUUAGGUUCUAAUAUGGCUAUUGGGUGGAUGCGUUGGUGGUGAAUUAAUGCUUUUGUUUUAUGUAUCACUCUUUUUCUUUGGCAUGAUUUCUCUGCCAUGAGUUACCAUGUUAUGCUUUAUGUUUGAUUUCAUUGGUCUUUUGUAUAUCUUUAAUUUUUUUGUUAUUCUGAGUUUAUAAGGGCAUUUGCUUUGUGUUUUUGUGUAUCUUAUUUUGAUACAAGGGCAAGAACUGAAGUUCUUUCGAUUGAAAUUUUCACUUAUGAGAUUUUUUUCUUACUAUAAUUUUACCUUUGAAUUAAAAUAGGUGAUUGUAGUUGCAGUUGUAUAAGUAUGUUCCACAAUAUGUAUGGAUAUUUCGAUGUUAGCAGAACCGAAAUUGAUCAGAGACACUACGGGCAUGGAUGCAAACAAAGUCUUUCCUAUUAGGUCCUAUGAGCAUGACAAGGAGAACAACAUUAGUGAAAACAUAGUUAUGCAGUAGUGUUGCAAGAGUGCAGGUUCUGUCAUGGAGUGGUCUUGCUGAU